rnacentral:rRNA from 1 species
UACGUAGGGGGCAAGCGUUGUCCGGAUUUACUGGGCGUAAAGCGCGCGCAGGCGGCAUGGCAAGUAAGGUGUGAAAUCUCCCUGCCUAACGGGGAGGGUGCAUUUUAGACGUGCCAAGCUAGAGGGACGGUAGAGGGGGGUAGAAUUGCUGGUGUAGCGGUGAAAUGCGUAGAGAUCAGCAGGAAUACCCGUGGCGAAGGCGGCCCCCUGGGCCGAACCUGACGCUGAGGCGCGAAGGCUAGGGAGCGAAGAGG